rnacentral:rRNA from 1 species
AUUGAACGCUGGCGGCAUGCUUUACACAUGCAAGUCGAACGGCAGCGCGGGCUUCGGCCUGGCGGCGAGUGGCGAACGGGUGAGUAAUGCAUCGGAACGUGCCCAGUAGUGGGGGAUAGCCCGGCGAAAGCCGGAUUAAUACCGCAUACGACCUGAGGGUGAAAGCGGGGGACCGAAAGGCCUCGCGCUAUUGGAGCGGCCGAUGUCGGAUUAGCUAGUUGGUGGGGUAAAGGCUUACCAAGGCGACGAUCCGUAGCUGGUCUGAGAGGACGACCAGCCACAGUGGGAGGAGGACACGGCCCAGCCCCCUAGGGGGGGCAGGAGGGGGGAAUUUGGGACAAGGGGGGAAACCCGGACCCGGCCAGGCCGGGGGGGGGAAGAGGGCCUUGGGGGUGUAAACCGCUUUUGUGCGGGAAAAAACCCUCUGGGCUAAGACCCCGGGGGGAUGAGGGUACCGGAAAAAUAAGCACCGGCUAACUACGU